rnacentral:lncRNA from 1 species
AUAAAAAAAAACUGUCCGCAAUGACAAAGCCAGUGGUGAUGAAAGUGGCAUUAAACACCAAAAAAGCAAUAAAAUAAAUCAGGGUUUAUCAAGACCCUUUCCUACACCGUAUUUGGUUUGGUAAACAAGAAUCCGUUGAAGGGAUUUUAAAUUGACUAAGGCAAUGUUUUGCAACACAUACAUGUACUAUCUUCUUGUAUUAUGACUGAUAUAUUUGUCGCUG